AUGAUUAUUUGCUUAAGCCCAAACCAGACGUUACGGAUUACGGUUUCUGUCGCUCAAUCAGACGGGUCUCUCUCUUCUUCAAGAAUGGACUAGGAACUUGUCCCAUCUCAUCUUUGACUGCUAAUCACGCGAGACAAGGAACAGAGCUAUGAUGUUGGAGCAGCUCUCUCCCACGAAUUCAAGAAACCUUGUAGGACGCCUACUUCUGACUGCCUGAGGUAUCGCUUUUUCUUUUUCUUCUACCUCAGCUUCAAGCGUUCCCAAAAUUAGAGCUCAAUCCUUUUAUUUUUGUAUUUCAGUUAGGAGCCAAAGGGAAAGUUUCAAUCUUUGAAUGAGAAAAUGUGCUAUGAUUUCUGGGUGACAAGGAGAUUGGGACCCUUUCGCCAUCUUUCGUUUCUGAAACAAUUUGUUAAUUUCUAACUGAAAUAGUGAAAUUAGUUAAUUUGGAAAACAAUUCAAAUAUCAUUAUCUGUCAAUAGAAUGUCCUUCGCAGAUCGUAGUUUUCAGGGUUGAAACAAGCCAAAAAUCAUUAUCUUUAAGGUUGUAUAGGGGCUUGUGCCACAUACAUUUAGCUAACAUGUUCCGGGGUUAUCCUGCUCAAACUCUAGUUUUCUGAUCAUACACGGCAACAUUGACAAAGAUGGGGGGGUUAGGUUGUCGAAUUCUUGUGUGUGAACAUGGCUGGGGGUAUUGUAGUUCAUAGGCGACAAAACUAGAGAUGGGUUCAGAACAAAACUACCGGUGGAGCGUUUUCGAUGGGGUUAAGGUCAUUCCCUCAGCGCCGGAGUCUCUCCUGGCGGAGAUUGAUACAGCCAUUUCUAAUCUUGAGUAUGCUCGGGCUACUGCCUGCCUCGAUUCCUCGCCUUCGUCCAUUUUAAAGAAUAAAAGCAGCUCGGAUUUCAGUCAGAGGCUUAAGUAUGAUGCCCGAAUGGCGGAUGAAGCUUAUAGGGCGGGAUGUGCAGCAUUGGCUGCUGGCAAGCUCGACGAGGCUCUUCACUCUUUGAACAUUUCUCUGUCUAAGUGUCCACCUGAUAAGACUACUGCCGUAGCUAAGCUUCAGUCUCUCAUUUCGCUCACGUCUCAGCAACUCCUGAAGUCUCCCAAAUGAACUUCUGGAUGUUGGCUGUCAGAUCUUUUUGUGAAGAUCCCGUGCAAUUGAUUGGACAACACUUGUUGACUCACUGGUGGGAGAAAGAUGAGAGGACCCUUAACACAAUGGUGCAGGAUCUAAUUGCUUGAAGAUAUGGUUCGUUUACUCACCAUUCAAUUCACUAGUGGGAAUCCUGUUUUGCUGCUUUUGUGGAUAUCAGAGUCAGACAACACACCAGCUUGACGAACUAUUCUAUAUUUGGGGAUUUAUUGUGGGUACAGUUUGUAAAUUUGUGAUCCUGAUACUUGGCCAUUCUAGUACUGAAACAGUCGUGAUAGCUCAGAUCAUAAUGGUUCCUUGCAUUCCUCUCUUUUAUUAAAUUUAGUAUUUUGCAAAGAUAUUCCAAUUAUGAAUUUUGAUGAAAUGAUAGUUCUUUCAUUUGUUAA